rnacentral:antisense_RNA from 2 species
GAGAGCACGACAUUGCUCACAUUGCUUCCAGUAUUAUUUUAGCCAGCCUACGUGCUGGCUUUUUUUU